rnacentral:rRNA from 1 species
UACGGAGGGUGCGAGCGUUGUCCGGAAUCACUGGGCGUAAAGGGCGCGUAGGCGGCUUGGGAAGUCCGUGGUGAAAGCUCGUGGCUCAACUGCGAGUCGGCCAUGGAUACUCCUAAGCUCGAGUCGACUAGAGGCAGAUGGAAUUCCGGGUGUAGCGGUGGAAUGCGUAGAGAUCCGGAAGAACACCGGCGGCGAAGGCGGUCUGCUGGGGUCGAACUGACGCUGGAGGCGCGACAGCGUGGGGAGCAAACAGG